UUGUCGGGUAAGUUCCGACCUGCACGAAUGGCGUAAUGAUGGCCAGGCUGUCUCCACCCGAGACUCAGUGAAAUUGAACUCGCUGUGAAGAUGCAGUGUACCCGCGGCAAGACGGAAAGACCCCGUGAACCUUUACUAUAGCUUGACACUGAACAUUGAGCCUUGAUGUGUAGGAUAGGUGGGAGGCUUUGAAGUGUGGACGCCAGUCUGCAUGGAGCCGGCCUUGAAAUACCACCCUUUAAUGUUUGAUGUUCUAACGUGGACCCGUGAUCCGGGUUGCGGACAGUGUCUGGUGGGUAGUUUGACUGGGGCGGUCUCCUCCUAAAGAGUAACGGAGGAGCACGAAGGUUGGCUAAUCCUGGUCGGACAUCAGGAGGUUAGUGCAAUGGCAUAAGCCAGCUUGACUGCGAGCGUGACGGCGCGAGCAGGUGCGAAAGCAGGUCAUAGUGAUCCGGUGGUUCUGAAUGGAAGGGCCAUCGCUCAACGGAUAAAAGGUACUCCGGGGAUAACAGGCUGAUACCGCCCAAGAGUUCAUAUCGACGGCGGUGUUUGGCACCUCGAUGUCGGCUCAUCACAUCCUGGGGCUGAAGUAGGUCCCAAGGGUAUGGCUGUUCGCCAUUUAAAGUGGUACGCGAGCUGGGUUUAGAACGUCGUGAGACAGUUCGGUCCCUAUCUGCCGUGGGCGCUGGAGAACUGAGGGGGGCUGCUCCUAGUACGAGAGGACCGGAGUGGACGCAUCACUGGUGUUCGGGUUGUCAUGCCAAUGGCACUGCCCGGUAGCUAAAUGCGGAAGAGAUAAGUGCUGAAAGCAUCUAAGCACGAAACUUGCCCCGA
rnacentral:rRNA from 1 species